AUACGGAGGGUGCAAGCGUUACUCGGAAUUACUGGGCGUAAAGCGUACGUAGGCGGUUCGUUAAGUUAGAUGUGAAAGCCCCGGGCUUAACCUGGGAACUGCAUUUAAAACUGGCGAACUAGAGUUGAGUAGAGGGGAGUGGAAUUUCAGGUGUAGCGGUGAAAUGCGUAGAGAUCUGAAGGAACACCAGUGGCGAAGGCGACUCACUGGACUUGAACUGACGCUGAGGUACGAAAGCGUGGGGAGCAAACAGGAUUAGAAACCCUAGUAGUCCC
rnacentral:rRNA from 1 species